rnacentral:rRNA from 1 species
CCCUACGGGGUGCAGAGGACGUAAAAAAGCUCAACCGAACCAGCAGGAACCUGAUGACAGCCUUAAUCUGUAUCAACCUGAAUACAACAAGCCGCAGGAACAGCAGCCCCAAAAAUCAGAAGAAUGGCAGCAGGACGAACAAAAUGACUUUCAAUGUGAAGAGGCCCCAACCCCACUCGUAAGAGAACCGUCGGAAGAAACCGCCCAGAAUCUGCCAAAACCCGAAUAUAAGGAACAACCUAAGGCCGAUUUCCAGGAAGACCUUGUACAGAAAGACGGCUUCCAACUCCCGAGAGACAAAACUGCACCAAGCUUGGAUGUAAACGAACUGCAAAAAAUGCCUACGGCUCAACUCGCGGCAAUGGGACGAGAACUCAACAGCGAAGGAAUUGGCGGGAGGGC